CAGUAGCCGCGGGAAUACGGAGGGUGCAAGCGUUAAUCGGAAUUACUGGGCGUAAAGCGUGCGUAGGUGGUGGUUUAAGUCCGUUGUGAAAGCCCUGGGCUCAACCUGGGAAUUGCAGUGGAUACUGGGUCACUAGAGUGUGGUAGAGGAUAGUGGAAUUUCCGGUGUAGCAGUGAAAUGCGUAGAGAUCGGAAGGAACAUCUGUGGCGAAGGCGACUAUCUGGGCCAACACUGACACUGAGGCACGAAAGCGUGGGGAGCAAACAGGAUUAGAUACCCGCGUAGUCCCUGUCUCUUAUAA
rnacentral:rRNA from 1 species